rnacentral:tRNA from 1 species
GGUUACGUAGUCAAUUAUGAUAUUAAAUUGCAAAUUUAAAGGUAUACCUGCUUUCGUAGCCU